AAUGGCCGCUAGUGAAAUUUGAAAGCUAGUUAGCUUCAGCAGGAAUUUGCUGAGAUGUGUUGUCCUCAUGUAGUUCAUCUAAAGCUAACAGGGAUGGAAAGCCGUCCUCUGAGGGGGCACGCUGGUCCCGGGGGGAUGCAAGGACCCUAUCAGCUGAAAUCCAAACGCACCUCCCCAUUCCUCCCUCUGGAACCCGUCUUGCAUUGCGAUGUAUUCGGACCAGAACCCUGCACGCUCACUGUGUGGCCUCUAAGGUUACUGAUCCGUUUUCCUGCUUGAGACGGCAAAGAAACAAAACCAAAGGCAAUAAAGGUCACAGAAGAACCAGUCAGCAGAACCAGUCAGCAGAACCAGUCAGCAGAACCAGUCAGCAGGAUGUUUUAGCUAAUAUUUUACAUAUUGCACCUUUAAACUCCGAGUGUGGAGGGUUGUGUAGCAGACACACACAGACGUGAGCUGUGGUUGUGUCGUCAGCAGUGAGGCAGCAGAGGACUGCUGGUCCCGUCCAAUCAGAGACGUCCCUAUCAGUCAUCAAUAACUCUCCAACUGAUCAGUUUCACAGCGAGUCAUCAAACAUCAUGUCGCAACAUUUGUCUUUUACAUAGAGUGUUUUUAAUCAAUGUUUCUGUUUUCACUUCUCAAAAUAAACUCAAAUGGAAACUUUUUUCUUUUUAAAUCAGUUUAAACUAAAUAUUUGAUGCUCGACUUUUAAGAACAGUUGCAGUUGUAUAAUCAUGAUGUCAGGAGGAGUCAGUUCUUUACUCAGUGAUUUAAAGAGUCAAGACUUGAUUUAAAUCACAGUUGCAUGUUGUUGGACUUCAGAUCAGGAGACGUCCUAUAAAACAAAAAGUCAUCAGUUUAAAUUGAAAAAGGUUUUUAUAUUCUGACUUGUUUCUGCAAGAAAUGAAGACUUUACUCUCAAAAUAUUCACUUUAUUCUUGCACAAUUAUUACUUUAUUUUAUUAACAUAAAAAACGUCAACAAAAUAUUUAGACUUCAUUCCCAAGAUCAAAUCAAAUCUGCUCCUCAUCACGUCAGCAGGGCAACUGGUUCCCAAAGGUUCCGGUAAUAUGACACCACCCCUCCAGGCCCCGCCCACUCACCGGCCCCGCCCACCUAGGCCUGCGCUCCAAUCACAUCGUCUGUUCACAGAAAUAAGGACUUGUAUUGAUGUAAACAGCCACUUCUGUACAAAAACCCCGAACUGAAACAACCCGAGCUUUAGAUAGAAAACAACAGAACCAUCAAACUCAUAAAGAUUCAACUGUACAAUUCAUAAAGUCAUAAAUUCCUCAUCGCUCCGUCCGUCCGCCGUCUCUGUACACAUCUCGCUCACCUUUACAAAUAAAAAACAUUGAAUCAUUGUUUCUCCUUGAGUUCACGUUGCUCUCGCAGCUCAUACAUAAAAUAGAGUCUUCGUUAGUAUCUGCGUAUUUACAGCGCGGCACACACACUCCGUACAUCGCAUGUUUCAGUGUUUCAGACGGUGCUGAGCGGACCGCCUCGACCCAAGAGGCCGUCCGCCUCCUGACAUUAUGAAUCCCAGCAGAACUACUGGCAGAAGCUGUGAUUGGUCCAAACACCGGAGGGCUCGGUCAGCUUACACUAAAUGUUGAGAAUGGGUUUCAGUUCAGAUUUAGGACUUCUGUUUCUGCCCAGAACUACACCGGGAUCCAUAAUAAAGCGCCCGACACCCAGGACGCGGUCCUGAGAGAGCCACCGGCAGACUACUGAUGAUGUCAUCUUCACUGGGUUUCACACUUUGUACCCGACAGAACCGCCACAAACGUCUCCGCCUCGACAAGACCUCCGACAGCAAACAGAGUCCUGAACGCUCAGUUUGAUCUCAGACUCAGAAACAGGAAUCUCCAAACUGUGACAACUACAACGGGCCUUUCUACAACUCCUGGUUCUGGAGGCUCAACCGGAUCAUGUUCUCUGGUGUUUGAGGAACUGUUCUUGAACUCACAUACUUGGUAUUUUGGACUCAUGUUUCAGGACUUCAUAUCAGGUUAAAGGUCUUGUCAAAGCCUACAAGUUCUGCAGGUUUUGUCCCGUCCAGAACAAAGCCGCCUCCUGUUGGUUCUGAUCCAUCUAAUAUCUGUGAGGUGUGUUGGAGUCAGAGACCCUCCGCUGUAACAAGACAGAACCUCUCACAGAAUGAAGCCUUCGGAUUUCUUUACAGCAGGUUUCUGAUUCUGGUGGUUUACUAGAACUCCAGAAGAAGUCUCCGUUAGUCUGCAACAAAAGAUCUAUUUGGACCCCAUGUCCCAAAACAAGAGCCGGGUCGUUCAGCAGAGAAUAAAUAUAGUAACAUGUACUUUAAUUAUCUGCGGUUGGUUCUGACACCUGGACUGUGGACCUGGUCUCUGGAGGUGGACUGGAGGCGGACUUGUCUCUGGACGGGAUCGGCCUCACUGAGCGUGGACAGACUGGAUGUUAUGGUACAGAUGGAGGAAGUCUCACCAGAGCUGAGCACAGAGAAGCUUUCACACCGGUCACACCUUCAGAACCGUCCUGAUCCGUCCUGAUGCACUGAAGAGUUUCACCCACACAGAACAACAUGGACCGGG